rnacentral:lncRNA from 1 species
GAACGGUCAAGCUAAGCGCCAUGUCUCUUGUUCUUUGAUUAACUAUAGCUUUGGAGUUUUUGCAGAUUUUCAAAUAAAACUCAGAGAUUCCUUAUAUGACUCUCUCAAAUCUCUCUUUUGUGGUAUUUCUGGAUCCUUUCCAAGGCAGUAAUGAUAUAUGCCUUCUCUCAAAGUAUGUAGUAUUUGUGGUAUGAGGCAUAGUGAUAUUGCCUUCUCUCUCACCCUUCUCUAAUAAGGUUUUGAUAUCUGGAGCUCAUAGGUGGGAGACAACUAAUACAUACUUACAAGAAAUUUAUUGCAUAGUCAAACUAUAGAUCCAGAGAAACAAGUCAAUAAGUCAAAUCAAGAUGUGCAUGUGUGGCGAGUGAAUGGUGUAUGGUGAUGAUGGUGAUAACAAUGGUGAAAGUCUAAUUCUACUUUUGCUCUUUUUAGGAGAUACAUACUUUGAAGUUUUUUGAGGAGAAUGAGAUGCUCUAUAUUUUCUUUUUCUUUCCUCUCAGGUGGGUAUCUUGUACCCCUAAUUCUACUGUCGGACACUUGUCCAUUUUUACCUCUCGUCUUACUUUUUCUUUUCUUCGAGGUUCCAGGCACUUGCCCCUUUUUAUUUCCUUGUAUUUUUCCUUUUUCUUCUCUUUUUUUAAGAGCACUCAUCUCCUUAAAUAAUAUAGCAAGUGGUAGUAACCAAGAUAACUCGAGCAUUUAUUACACAGGGAAUAAUAGGGAUAGGAUAAUGUUUUUGGCUAUUCUCUCCCUUAUUAGGAGUAGAAUACUUUUGGGUGAAUCUGGAGAUAGAAAUGAGUUGAUAUAUGUGGAUGCGUACUUUCGUAGUAGAAGCAGCAUAUACGAGUGAACGUGCAAGUGAAUCUUAAUUUUAACCACAUGACAAGCUCCUAAGGGUCUACACAGCUUGACCACAUUCAAUGCUCAUAAGCAGUAAAAAGUAAAUGUGCGGCUCAAAGUCUAGCAAGCAUGUAUAUAUGGCUGUGGUAGAAUUUAAACUCUCAUCAUACAGGAACUCAUCUUGUGUUAUUUUGAAGAUUUUCAAAGAUAAAAUUCUCUAGAAUUCUAGCAUCUCUAGGAACAGAUAAACAGCAGCUCAACCUUCCCAUAUCAUAUCCGUUAACAACUUAGACUUUAGAUCAAGUACUCUUCCCACAAGUUCAGGUUUCGAGCAGGUUUAAAUUAUAAUUGUUAUGCCUAAACUUGAGAGAGAGCUCAAACUUGAAAACUAGGUAUAUGGCAGAGCAACUAUUUAUCAUAUACAUGUAAGAGUUUAUCAUUUAAAUUUAGUUUAGCCUAGACACUUUAUUUAUUUAUUUAGCAAACUAAGCAAAGAUAUAUAUAAAAGCACAAAAUCUUUAUUUGGGUUUUUAUGAUUAUGCAUCUUUUUAUUUUUUGAGUAAAGUAUAAAUAUGAGUAGAACACUUAUAGAACACUUAGCUAGAUAAAUGGGGGUGCUCUCCCCCAAGCUAGAUUUUGACAUAAUUUCUUCUAAUGUAGCUAGCAGGUGGUGGAGGUGUAUUUGAAUGUUGGCAGCACCUUGACAGCGAUUAGGAUGUCCUCCGUAUGCUAGUCUUCUUUGAUCCUUGAAUUCCGUGGAGCUCAAAUAGACAACAAAGCUUUGUGGAACUGGUCAAAUGUUAGCAUAAAUAUCUAGCCUUUAUCAUGUUGAGCCUUCUCAAUAAAUGUCACUCUCUUUGGUAGGAUCACAAUCUUAUUUUUAUAUUUUCAUUUUUAUAGAGCAGAAAAAAUACUUAUUUUAUUUUUAUGCCACCACAGUCAAUGUACCUAUGGGUUUUAUGCCAUGAGCAUACUCACAUGGGGCUUACUAUUUUUAACAUUUUUAUUUUCUUUUUAAGAUGAUAUGAACCUGAUUAACUAAGCAAACUAUUCAAAGGAAAAGGAUAACUACCAAGUUUACCUCUUUGCAAGGCGUUCGGUGUUUUUAAGUCCUCUGAACGGGACUCUCCGUUUUCUCAGUCGUCCUGGGAUUCGCUGGAUGGCGUAGUCGGUGAUUCCGAUGGCGCCUCCUCUUCGUGUAUAACUAUCUUCUCCCUCCACCCCUGACUCGGUGCUACAGUCUCCUCAGGACAGUUCUGUUCAAGCUGUAUGUCUUCAGACCUUACUACUUCUUCUUCGUAGUCUGCCCAUCCGUCCUUGAUGAUUUGCCUCCUCUGGUUGCGGUUGCGUUGUCUUCUUGUUGUCCUGACCUCCUUAGAGUUUUCAACUAUAUAGUUAGGGUAAGUAAAACAGCGGCAUACCUUCUCAGAGGAGAAGUGUAUGUGGACUUCUCCAAUUCCAAUAUAGAUGAUUGCUUUAACGGUGCCGAGCAAUCGGUCUCCCAAGGAUGAUGGGUGGAUCGUACUCAUCUUCUCCCAUGUCAAUGACCUAAAAAUCAUCUAGGGCUGAAUAUAUAUUGGUUGUAGGGGCAUGGUUCCAUGCAGGAGGUGAUAAGUGACUGCGGCCAUUAUGUUGUCAUCAGAUCUGGUGUCGUAGAGUGUCUUCUGAAAAGAGUAUCUAUUGAUUGUGCAUUCGAUGCUUGGAACACCAGGGUCAUCCUUCUUGAUUAGGAAAGGCGACUUGAGUCGACGAUCUUGACCUCCUCCGACGAGGAUCCAAUGUUUUAAGUCUUCUGGACAAGACUUCUCACUGUCUUCAUCCUUUAGGUGCAUCAUUUGAUUAGGUGUGGACCUUGACAUCUGCACCUCUUGAUACGGUGUCACCCAUGUUCUUUGUUUGUCCAGCAGUUCGAAGUGCGGUGUUGGCAAUAUCCUGCUCAGUGUGUUUGUGCUCGUAGAUCCAGGUCCUUCACUUGGUGGAGUCUAGGAGUUGUAAAACUCCUCCAUGUUUUGCUCGAAGUGUACCUGCUCAUAGUGACAAGGCAGAGAUCAAGUGCAUGGGCCCUGUUGGUGAAAAACACCAACAGAACCAAAAUUGUAUUUGUUCUUCUCUAACCUCAAGCAUAGUGAGCUAGGUAAAGUUGAUGGAUAAUAAAUUCAUGAGUGUAGCAUUUAAAACAUUUGUCAGAUUAGAUCGCUCGACCUAAUGGAAAGAUAAUUUAUCUAUAUUUAUGUUUUGCUUAUAUCUUCCAAAGAUUGAAUGUGCAAUGAUUAGGAGUGUGGGAUCACGAAGGUAGUACUAAGAACAAAGAUUAAAGGACUAAACAUGUUGAAUUAAUUGGGUUGGUUAAUUUGGAGCUACAAAUCAUACAUGUUUGUCUCUUUUAUUCAUGUGUAUGCCAGAACCAAGAAGAAGCUUAUGAAAGUGAUAGUCGCGUACCUUAUGAUGUUACCUUACUUGAAGAGUGAUGGUAUGUAUCACCUUGUGGAAGCUUUCCAUUCGUAAUGGGUGUGUAUCUUGUUUAUGUACUUUGUAUCCUUCCAUGGAUCAUCACUCUAUGAAGAAUGAGCUAUGUCUUCCCUUGUGAAAAUCGUUAAACUUCAUGUGUCUCCUUUAUCUCCAAUGUGAGUUUGUAUCUCAGGACUUCCCAGGUUGAUAUUGAAAGUUCUCCUGCAGGGGUUAGUCUGACAAAAUAUACCAAUGCCUACUCAAGCAGUUUUUAGUUCGGUAACCAAACUAGACUCCAUGUCUAAUCAGAUUAAGGAAGGCUAUUUAACCUAAGCACCACACUUAAUUUAAAUGCCAAUGGAAGUAUGUCCAGUACUUCCAAACUAACACUUACUAGGAUAAACAAAGGUAGCAUGAUGGCUUUUAUAGAGAUAUACUCAAGUGGAGAUGAAGUAGUGUGAUUAGUAUUUAACAAAUUGAGCAUGUCUCAAAAGUAAGGACAACCAACAUAGCAACUUGGCAAAGGAUGUUGAAGUACUCCCCCAAGCUUGAAUUUUGCAAAAUUCAAGAUUGGAUGAAUUUUAAUUCAAUGUUGCAUGAUGAUUGGUUGGGCAUACCUUGCGCUUGUCAUUCCUCAGAUCUUCUUGCUCCAAUCCUAGAAAGGUUAGUGACAAGAAUACCCGAAGGAAUAUUUCUACAAUUAUCUUUAUAUGCUCAAUACACAAGGCAAUGUUGCAAAUAAUUAGAAGUUCAUGUUAUGAUCUGAUAAGUGCUUGUUUUAGGACACUAAGCUUGUCCUUGGGAAACCAUCAAAUUAUGUUGGUGAAGUGGUUUCCCCUCCAACACCAACCUAAACGUGCCUAUAUCAAGAUCGACUCAAUGAUAUCUGCAAUAUUUAUUAUAGACAUAUGCAUCGAUAACCACCCCUUUAAAGUUUUUAUAAAUAGAAAGGAAGAGGGGGUUGGAGAUCGCAAAUGUAGUAAGGUUGGAGAGACCAAUUGAUUGGGGAGAUGUUUUAUAUGAGCAAGGACUUGGUGAGGUAUUUAUGAAAUAACUUCCAUGCUCACUGUUGUUUCUCCCAUUCUCAAACUCCAAGGAUGAUUCUUCAUGAAUGCUUAAAAUUCCUCUAGGAUUGUCUCUCAAGUUUGUUUUAUCCAUCCAUUAAAUGGUGAUAGCACAUGGAUUUUUAAUGCCCUCUAGCCAUUGAUGUUGCUCUUCUCGAUCCUCCUUGUGGUCUUGGUGACUCUUAUGCUUGGGAUGUCUAGAGAGAUUCAUGGGAUUAUCGGGAGGUUCAAGAGGAAGAGCAUAGUAGAAAUUAUUAAGCUCAAGGAUGGGUUGGAUAGCCGAAUCAUGGGAUUGAAAUGUUUGGAAAUUGGCUAUUGAAACUUCCUUUCCUUGUCUGGGAGUUGAUUCCUUCUCUAUCUCUAGGAUUUUUUUAUGAAGACUAGUACAAUAACGAUGUCCACAAAUGAAGACAUACCUUCCUUUACUAACAGAUAAAGAAAGAAAGACUCUACCAAAGGUUAUAUAAUUAAGACCAAUGUGAAAAUAAAGAGGAAAAACAUGGUCUUGUAGGGCUAGGUUUAAACCAGAAUUUAUAGAAAGUUUAAAAGAUUCCCUAGGUGUAGCUAAAAGUGCAUUAUCUUCUUGAUUAAAAGAUAGGACCUUGGCUAUAGAAAAGGGUUGGUUUUGACUUAUUGCAAUCAACUCCGGACACAGAUCAUAAUUAGGGGUAGGACUUGUUGACUCCCAUGGUCUAUGGCUGGUCUCCGAAGGUGCAAAGAAUUCAAUAAUAGGUAUGGAAUUUAAGUUAUCCAUAAAGAUAAAAAUAAAAAGAUAAAAGAAUAAAAGUAUAAAAGUAUAAUACAAGAUAAUAGCAAGACUUAAAGUUAUCUCAGCAAACCAUCUUUCUCCCCGGCAACGGCGCCAGAAAUGCUUGUUGAUAUUUGGUAACGCAAUAAGGAAAUGAUCCGCAAGCGCACAGAUAUCGGUGAGCAUUUCACCCGGGAGGUUUUCCAGAGUAUCGUAUUUAUAUUUCUACCACUGGGAGAAAGGGUGCAUCUGACUAACCAAAUCUAUUACUACUACCCCUUUAGGCUACAAGGAAUGUUUCUCGAUGUGAGUGAUGUAUAGAGAAGACUGCAACCGUAGUCUCGUUCUAACCUUGGUAAGGAUGAUCUACUGUUUUAUUGGGGAAGCCUACGGAAUCUAAACACCACAAAGGAUGUUUGACCCACACCUAUAAACCUACCUGUCCUGCUAACGAGAUGUGGGCUUCAAAGGUAACUCGGAAAUGUCACGUUCCUCGCUACUACCACGGUCCAGCUAGUCAGGGGAUAUCUAUGAGUACCCUAGCCUAAACACCAUGUUUACGCUAGCAAUGAUUACUCUAAUACUUAACCAGAAGAGAUUAAAGUAAACUCAUAAACAAAAGACCAAUAAAACAAAAACUUACUAGAAUUAGAAGUCGAAUUACUAAAGAAUCCUAGGAGCAAGCCUCGGGUUAGAAGACUUGAUCCCGCAGGUACAACCUUUGAGUAGACACCGACAGGCCAGGCUUCCUCCGAUCUACACCUCCACUCUAUCUCUCUCAAUCUAGUAGAAACUAGAAGAUCUAAUUCUACUCACAUUGGAUGCUAAGCCUAAAAGAAAUUUUAUUUAGAGGAGAGGUAUUCCUUCGAGGGCUCCUCUCAACUCUAUGAUGAACUUGUCCUCCUCCAGGGGCCAGGGGGGCUUAUAUAGUCCUCCUCCUCUGUGCAUUUUUGGUUCAGCAGGCGAUGUGGUACUAAACUUUCCACCAUAUCUCAUUAAAAUGCACAUAGGCCUUAAUGGACCAAAAUCUGAUUUGGGCCCAAUUAAUCCCGCAGCUCUUUUAUGUGGAGUCCUUGUUUUAUUAAUAUCUCUUGAUUCCGAACUCCAAAUAUAGCAAAUAAUAUAUGCAUUUCGAUCCACUCGACGAGAUCUUCGUAAUGGUGUACUCCAUUCUGUGAUUGGUGCUUGUACCAGGGCAGGCGCCCAAGGGGGAGGGUGGGCGCCCUGCCCCUGGGCCCGUUCGGCCUCCUGUUCGUUCCCGUGGCUUCUGGAGUCUUCUAGAUGAUAGAAAAUUGCACGGCACAUUAAUAUCUCUAUGUAAUCCUGACGUGUGGGCCUUUCUUCCGUAUUUCCCGAUAACCCCCUGCAGAAAUAGACAAACACCAAAACUCGUGGAAUUCUGUCAGAUAAAACCCUAAGUCUGGGUGUUGGUUGCAUUUGGAUCCUUUUCUUUAUUUAUUUGAUGAUUAUAUUUGGUACUUAAGGACCGUCAACACCUGUGAGCGCAUCAACAGACGCAUCAACGAUAGAGCUGCACACGAAAACAUGCGCCAUAUCGAGUAUGAUGCCGCACACGACCCUCCUGGCUUAAAGCAAUUCUCCUCAAACCUCCGGCAGGUCAUCUGGCCGCACAAUUUUAAACUUGAGAGGCUCAAAAAGUACGACGACAAAGAGAACCCUGAAAUUUGGAUCACUCUCUACAAGAUCGCAGUCCGAUCAGCAACAGGAGACGAACACAUGAUGGCGAAUUAUUUCCCGGUCAUGCUCAAUCAGGUAGGUCACCAGUGGCUCCUCGGCUUGCCCGAAAAUUCAUUUGAUUCAUGGGAAGAGCUACGGCAAGCGUUCACCAACAAUUUUAUCGCUACCUACGAGCAGCCAGGAAACAAAUACGACCUCGAGAGGAUAUGGGACCGCAAGAAUGAACCACUGCACGAUUACAUCCAACGUUUCUCGGAUAUGCGUCUUAAGAUCCCAAAGAUUUCUCACGACGAGGCAAUUUCUGCCUUCAUCAAAGGUCUUCGUUUUCACGAAGCUGAAAGGUCCUUGUUUGGUUUUGGUAAUUGAGUGACAACUUAGGUGGACUAAUAAUAUUUAUGUGAGAUACCGAAGAUUAGUCCACAGGUGAAUAUGUGAUGAUAAAGGAGCUCAUUGCAUAUGAGACAUGACAUGGAGUCAUGUGAUCAAGGUGGAGAAGAUCAAGAUGUGGCUUGGCUUGAGGCCCGAUUGCAAGAGUGAAGGGCAAGUCAGAGGCUUUGAAGCUUGAGCAAGACAUGGCGCCGAUGGACCAAGGCAAUGGUGAAGAGCAAGUGAAGUCAAGAUCGAUGAACCAAUAUGGUCACAUGAUGAUAUGAAGUGGAUCAUAUCAUUUGUGAUUGGUUGGUGCAUGUGCUGUAUCAACAUUGAAGGAGUUGGAAUGGAAAGCAGAAGUCAAAGGUAUAACCUAGGGCAUUUCCAUUUCACCGGUCAUAAGGGAGUAGAGUAGUGCUUGACCGGAUUUAGGAUAGAUAACCGUACUAUAAAGAGGGGAAAUCUUUAAUUGCAAUGGUUAUCUAGUGCCACUAAGUGUUGAGUCUCAUUUGCAUAUACCAAGCGCUUAGUGACGUGGUGAGUUACAUGAGAAAGCCUAAAAAUGAUUCUGAAAUGCUAACACACAUGCACAUGGUGGUGUACACUUGGUGGUGUUGGCACAUUUGCAAAGGAGAAGGUGUUGGAGUUGAUUUUGAUCAACUUGGUGAAGAGAAAGGUGUUUCGGUGUUCUCUGGACAUUAGGAUGGCUCUUGGAUUGCGACUUGGAUUGAGUAUUCAUAUGGAUUGUAUAGCCCUCUGACUAAGCUUUCCAAAAAUGUCCAAGAUCAUCGAGUUUGGAGUUCAGAGCUAAAAGCUAGCAACAUAACAAGGUUUGAGAUGGUGCUGAGAAUGCUGGACUGGAAGUUUUGGUGGAACUUCCGGUGGUACUUCCGGUGCCUGACCGGAAGUUCCAGUCAGCCUGAUAGGAAGUUCCGGUUGGGCUGUGAGAGAUGCGCUCGCGUUUGAGAAAACACUUCCGGUGUCUGACCGGAAGUUCCGGUCCAUGACCAGAAGUUCCGGUCCAUAACCGGAAGUUCUGGUCCAUGAAUGGAAGUCCGCAUAGGAGCCUUUGUACAUGCCCUCGCGUGUUAGGAUUCACUUCUGGUCAGAAGUUUCGGUGGAACUUCCAAUGGGUCUGAGUCUCUCACAACGGUCAGAUCUGCUUGGCCACAAUGGUCAGAUCUGCUUAGACUAAGGCUCGAACAGUCAGAUCUAGUUGGAUCGGAAGUUCCGGUCCUAGGCACCGGAACUUCCAGUGCCACUCUAUAAAUACCAUUGGGAGCGCCAGCUGAGUGUUUGAGGGAGCAGUUUUCUUCUUCCUACUCUUCUCCCUCCCCAUUUGGAACACAAGGAAGUUAGGGUUCCUCCUCUCCUCUAUCUCUCCAUGGAUUUGAGUUGAAAUUUCUUAGAGAGAUUGAGAGCCCUUUGUGGGUGUGGAUGAGAGGUUGAAGAUCCACCAUUUUCCCUUCCUCUCCCUCUCAUGCUUGGUGCUAUUUUGAGUAAGGGAGUGAGAGCCUAGUGUGUGCAUUCAGGAUUUGCAUUUGGUGGCACUAGGAAAUUUUUGUGUUUGGGGAUUUCUUGUUACUCUUGGUGAUUUCCAUCACCUAGACGGAUUGGUGGAUUGUGACUCCAUUUGAAGCACUCAAGAAGGUUGUGCGGUGCUCCGGAGGAGGAUUUGUGAGGGGUACGGUGCUCACCCUGUGGGGAUCGCGAAGAGCAACUCUAGUGGAUUGCUUGUGGCUUGGAGGAUCCCCAUCUUGAGAGUGGAUGUGUGGCACCUACUGAGGGUUUGGCUUUGGAUUGUCAAUUAGCUCGUGAUCCAUCAAGUGGGUGUAUCGCCACAACGAGGACGUAGCUUGGUGGCAACCAAGUGAACCUCGGUAAAAAUCACCGUGUCAACAUUGUCUACUCUUCUCGGUGGUUUGCAUUUGCCUUAUACAAGCUUGUAUUUACAUUCUAUGUACUUAUGCUUGUGUAGUUGCCCUUGUAACUAGUCUUGCUUGUGUUGCUUGAUAGUUACCUUCCUGCUUGUGUAGCUAGAAGUAGUUCCCUUGCAUGGCUAAUUUGGUUUGUGUAACCUUGUUAGUCACUUUGCUUAGUUUGUGUAACUAAGUAAGUUGUGCUCUCUAAUUUGGCAUUAGUUGCCUUGUUAUUGAGCAUUGCUAGUGAGCUUAGAAGCUUUGUGCUUUUGCUUGCUAGUUGUAUAGGAGCUACCUAGUUUGCAACGUACUAGUGGCAUAGGUUUGUGUGACCUUGCUCCUAGAAUUGGUUCGGUGAGCUCUUGCUAAGGAAGCACCUUAUUUUCUUAUUUAGGAUCUUUUACAAUGUGCUAGAGAACUUAGAUAGAGGGGUGUAGUCUUGGCUAGACUGAAAGUUUUAAUUCCGCAUUUGUUUCGGUUAGCCAGUGCAACAAGUUUUAGAAAGGACUAUUCACCCCCCUCUAGUCCGCCAUCUUGACCCUUCAAUUGGUAUCGGAGCUGAGGUCUCUCAUUUGUGGUCUUCACCGACCCGAGAGGAUGGCGGCUUAUGGGCUAGAUGUUGAGUGUCCACACAUUUUUGAUGGCACACAUUAUGCACAGUGGAGAAAUUGGAUGCAAUGCAAUUUUAAGUUUAUUUCUCCUCAAAUGUGGUGGAUGGUAGAUGUGGGCUUUUCUCAUGUGUUGGAUGAAGAUGGUCUAACUCAAGCACAAGAGAAAUGCCUAGAUCUUGACAUCCAAGCUACUGACAUCAUGUAUAGAUCUUUGGAUGAUUGCAUAUUUGGAGAGAUCAUCAACAUGAAGACUGCCCAUGAGAUUUGGAGUUAUCUCAAUAAGAAAUAUGGGAUGGACUUCAACAAUGAUGAUGUUGAUGAUGAGCCCAAGGAGAAGGUACAUGAGGAUGUUGAGCAUGACCACAAUUUGGUAAUUGUGGAAGAUUGCUCCACCUCAUGGUCAAGUGAUGAUGAUGAUGUAUCUACCACAAGCUCACUUGACAAGAUUGAGGAUGAUGCCACAAGUGAUGCAAAUGAUGAUACUACUUCAUGCACACUUGAUGGUGAAGAUGAUGGUUCAUGCUCGAGCCAUGAUUGUGAUGCUACUACAAGUCCAUCAACUACACCACAUAGCUUCAUAUCACAAGGUGACACCAAGGUAUAUAAUGCUAAUGUGGUUAAUCAUAUUGUCUCAUAUGAUGAGCUUGUUAGUAGACUUGCUAGCAUGACCAUGUCUUUAGAAAAUGAGAAAGCUAAAACAAGUAAAUUGGAAAAAGAAAACUCAUUUCUAAAGACCACAUGUGAACUACAAAAGCAUCUACUUUAUGUUACUACUUGUUCACAUGAGGAGAUAAAAUUGGCUCAUGAGGAACUUUGUGUUGCUCAUAAUAGUUUAGUACAAGAUCAUGCUUUUCUCACUAAGAAGCUUUCUAAUAAAGAAAUUAAAACUAGUGAGAGCUCAUCACUUGGGUCAAAUGAUCAACCACAUAUUGUUACUAACCCUGGUGAUGUAGGCAAGAAGCAUGUAUCCACCUCUUGUGAUGAUUUACUAUCUAUGCCAUGUUCUUCACAUAUAGAUGCUUGUUCUAUUUCUUUCUCUUGUGAGACUAACCUUUUGAAGGAAAACAAUGACCUCAAUGAGCAAGUGAAAAAAUUGAGCAACAAGUUAGAUAGGUGCUACUACUCAAAAGUCACCUUUGAGCAAAUAUUGAAGACUCAAAGAAACUACGGCGACAUGUGUGGCCUUGGCUUCAAGAAGAAGAUGACGGAAGAAGAGAGGCUAAAGUAUGUCAAAUGCUUCAAGUGCCGCACUUGGGGUCAUCUCACCUUAAUGUGCCCAACCAAACACUUGGUGAAGCAACAAGUGAAGGCUCAACCAAAGCCACACGUUGAGCAAGAAAAAAAUACUCCAAGCUCAAGUCAUGAUCAACCAUGAAGGUGAUGACUUGAUGAUAAAGAAGAAGAAAACAAGAAGGGGUGGAAGAGCAAGGCAUCCAACUCUUAUUCAAGCUGCCAAGAUGAUGAGCAAGAAUCAAACUAAGAAGAAUGAAGAAAAGAAAACUAAGUUUGCUCACAUCAAGUGCUUUGAGUGCAAGAAUGAGGGACACUUUGCCUCAAAAUGUCCUACCAAGCUUGAGAAGAAGGCUCAAGCAACUUUCAAGAGGCAAGACAAUGAGAAACACAACAUGAGCAAGGAAGAAAAAGCUCAAGCAAAGAGAAUGUGAUACUCAUGCCGAGAAAGGGGACACGCCUCAUUCAUGUCCCCUAGGUAAUAAUUCUAGAGCCUAUUUCGAUUGAUUAUAACAUUGUGCUUAGAAAGGAUGGCAAUGGUACCUCAUUGGUUGCAAUUGCAAAACAUCCCGCUACUCAUACUAAGGCUAUGCCUAAGUAUGUUGCACCUAACUUGAGAGGACCCAAACUAGUUUGGGUACCAUCAAAAAGUGGAUGAUUGUGUCUAGGUACCAUCGGUAUUGGAGGCUUGAUUCAACUGAUCUUAUAUUAUUCAUCAUCAUAUGAUUGAGUCAUGUAUUGAAGUUUAGUGCAUAUCUUAUCCCAAUGCCAAGUCAAAACAAGUGAAGUCCAAGUGCUAUAACAUAUAAGUGCAAAUAUUCAAGUUGUGAUAAUUCAUUGGAUUAUUUGAUGGCUUGCAAAUACAUGAAUUGAAGCUGGCAAAUUGGAUAAUAAUGAGCUAACCAAGUUAUAUCUUUGUUGAUCCCAUUCAUUUGGGUGCAUAUGAGUUAAUUGAAUUGGAUAUAUAUGCAAUGUUGCUUGCUAUAAGAUGUUUGAAUGGAUUAAAUACAUAGUAAUCAAGUUUGGAUUGAUUUGAGUUGGAUAAGUUCAUGAGAUAACUUUUAGUAAGUGGAUUGAAUGGAUAUAUGUCUUAUGAAAGUAUUCAAUCAAGUUGAUCUCAAGUUUGGUUCAAUUUGAACAAGUAUAGCUCAAUUGCUUGAAAUCUGUCCUAUAUUGAAAAACUGAGCUAGCAGUAAUCAAGUCUGAGUUUGAAUGAUAAAAUAUAUUUGGAAUGGCUUGAGAUUUGGUAUGCAUGCUGUACACUCAUCCUAGAAGAUGCUGUAGAAAUUUCAUGGAAAUUGGAUAAGGGAUACUUCGUUUUGGAGUGGAUCUUGUCAGCUAUAGUGCAGCAGUUUUCAGCAUGUACCAGUGGUUGAAGAAUUGCAAUCUGGUAGCAAUCUAGAAGUCAAAUGAAGCUCAAAUUUUUACAGCUGCUAGAUGACUUAGUGAAGCACAUCUCCACCAAAUUACGUGCUAUUUCGAUCUGUAUAUUGUGAGAAAUGAGUUAUUCUUUGAAAGGUACAGAAUCUGCCAGAAAAGUGACAAUUAUUUGAUUGAUCUAGAGUCACUUUGAUUAAAAGGUCCUCAAGUUGGAAACAUGAUUAUAAGUAUUUGGGGCACCCUAAUUUGGUUUUGAAUUGAUCUAGAAGCAUGACAAGUAUUGAGUACAAGGCUAUUUGAUUGUGGAGUGUACUUGGUGUACACAUUUGGCACUCAAAUUGAACAUCAAGAUCAAACUCGAGAUGAAAAAGAAGUUUAAGCUCUAAGUAACAAUUAGAGAUCAUUUGGUAGUGUUGACACCGUUUUUGGACACGUACCCGGGGGUCGGUAAAGUAUAGAUCGACAGAUGGAGCAACGGUAACUAGUCUACAUGGAUGUUGCCGAUGAGGAUGGUUGCCGAUGAAGAGACGAUUGAAUAUGACUAAGUCUAGAGGUGGUGACGUGUUCGUGCCGAUGAUCAGUAUUAGUGUUUGCCGAGGGCAAUAACAGGAGGUCUGCCGAUGACUCUGAAAGAAAACGUGGAGAUUGCCGAUUGAUCUGUGGCGGUGUCCCGGUCGGUUACAAGGGGAUAGUUUUAUGUUUUCCUUAGUUAUUUAAAUUCGUUUUGUAUACGGAUUCCGUUCAAUUUGGAAUUCGAGUCCUAGUCGUGUCUAAUUGUAGCUCUUUGAGCAGGGUAUAAAUGUAGACCCUAGGGCCUUGUAAUGAUGAAUCUAUCAAUCAAUAAAGCACAAGUUUUUACUCAUAUUGCAGCAUCUACUUUUUCGACAACUUCGUCAUAUUUUUCUUUUUUACUACGAGUUCUUAAGGAUUAGUCGACUUAAGCUCGGCAUAUUCUCGAGUUCCGCGUGAGCACCUCUUGGCCGUGACAUCCGGGCGCAUCGCUGUUGUCGGGACCAGUUCACGUUACCACCUUUGCCGAUAGUAAGGUCAAAUCGGCUGGCACGCCUUAACGUUUAAAUCGGGUAUUAGCUCUUUGUGUUCGUAGAUUAGCUUUUGCAUCAACACAUCUUUUGGCAUGCCUGGUGGGACCGAUUCUAGAUCAAGAUCAACAUGGCAAAUAUCGAGUUCGACUUGGAGAACGUCAUCCCCGUGACGGAAGCCAAUCUCAGAGAUGAGCAGAAGCAACCUAUUGCAAAAGCCAUGGAGGAUUACAAGCAAUAAUGUUUGAAAUCCUUUAGCAUCAACAGGAGUGGCAAGGUGAUCCAGAAGGAAGCACUGCCGAACCUCGGCAGGUUACUUUUGAAGCCAAUCCUGGUAAACUUCAAGACAUGGUUGAUAGUGCUAUUACCGUGCCUUGAUUAAUCAAGCUGGUGUGCUAUCCAAUACGGUUUUCAAUGCCAUGGCUAGAACUUUCAAAGAAGGACAAUUGCCACCAAAUUACGUGGGCCCUGUCUAUCAUCAGCCAGGAUCACCAGUGGUUACAGCUCCAUCGGCUACUACAACUGCUGCGGGUAUAGAGUUUACUUCUCCUCCAAGCACAUUGGGGAUCACUAAUGCGCAAUCUGCACCGAUGACGACCAAUCCAUCAACAUCUGAUGAGCAAAUCAAGCUUGCCACAGAUCUAUUGGCAUCCGCAAUGUUGGGAUCUGUUCCUCCCAACUGGUGGGUUAUGGUAUGCCCCCAGAGAUGAUGUUGAAGACCCCUGGCACAUCUCAAACGGCUCACAUGAGAGACAAGGCUCCUAUGGCAUCGGCACCUCCAAAUCUGUCGAUGAAUCAGAGUCCUCAGUAUACUACAACUACUUCUGCAAGACCCUAUACUGGGAAUUCUCAAGCUCCAAUGUUCCAGAUGCCUAGCGCAUCGGCAGAUUCAAUGCCAACGCAACAGAGGUUUAUGACACAGCUAGGGUACGUCAAUUCAAUGAUGAUGCUCAAUUACCAGUCAUCGGCAGGGCUUAUGCCGAUGAAUGCUAACGGUGGAUGGAAUGGGCAGCUAGUGUUUCCACAAAUGCCCCAGCAGAAUCAUCAGGCUCCAGGGUUUCAACAAGGCCAAAUUCAACUCGGGUUUCAGAGUCAAGGGUUGGCCAACCAGUCGAUGAAUCUCGGCCAGCAGAUGGGUGCUCAGAUAAUUAACCCAAUGUUCCAUGCAGAUCGUGCACCCUAGAGACACAUGGAAGCAUACCAGCAGGUGCCAGAUCCGCAACCACCCCAUCGGCAAGAUGUCGAUGCGUAUUGGGCCGAUAAGAUAGCUGAAGUAAUGAGAGACCAAUUUGGGAUAAAACCCAAAGUCCAUACUUACUCUUAUCGGACACCAUAUCCUCCCGCAUAUGACUUAAUUCCACUUCCAAAUCGGUACAAGGUACCAUACUACACUAAGUUUUCUUGACAGGAUGAUACGUCGACUAUGGAACAUGUCAAUAGGUUUAUCAUCUAGUGUGGGGAGGCUGCUAACAGAGAUGAAUUAAGGGUUCGUUUAUUCUCGUCAUCAAUAUCGGGAUCGGCUUUCACUUGGUUUAUUUCGUUACCUCCUAAUUCAGUGAUUACUUGGGCCGAUCUGGAGAAGCAAUUCCACAAAUACUUCUUUUCUG